rnacentral:rRNA from 1 species
CGCUAUCACUCCUACGGGGAGGCAGCAGUAGGGAAUCUUCCACAAUGGGCGCAAGCCUGAUGGAGCAACACCGCGUGAGUGAAGAAGGGUUUCGGCUCGUAAAGCUCUGUUGUUAAAGAAGAACACGUAUGAGAGUAACUGUUCAUACGUUGACGGUAUUUAACCAGAAAGUCACGGCUAACUACGUGCCAGCAGCCGCGGUAAUACGUAGGUGGCAAGCGUUAUCCGGAUUUAUUGGGCGUUAAAGAGAGUGCAGGCGGUUUUCUUAAGUCUGAUGUGAGAGCCUUCGGCUUAACCGGAGAAGUGCAUCGGAAACUGGAUAACUUGAGUGCAGAAGAGGGUAGUGGAACUCCAUGUGUAGCGGUGGAAUGCGUAGAUAUAUGGAAGAACACCAGUGGCGAAGGCGGCUACCUGGUCUGCAACUGACGCUGAGACUCGAAAGCAUGGGUAGCGAACAGGAUUAGAUACCCUGGUAG